AUUGAACGCUGGCGGCAGGCCUAACACAUGCAAGUCGAGCGGUAGAGAGGUGCUUGCACCUCUUGAGAGCGGCGGACGGGUGAGUAAUGCCUAGGAAUCUGCCUAGUGGUGGGGGAUAACGUUCGGAAACGGACGCUAAUACCGCAUACGUCCUACGGGAGAAAGCGGGGGAUCUUCGGACCUCGCGCCAUUAGAUGAGCCUAGGUCGGAUUAGCUAGUUGGUGAGGUAAUGGCUCACCAAGGCGACGAUCCGUAACUGGUCUGAGAGGAUGAUCAGUCCAACUGGAACUGAGACCCGGUCCAGACUCCUACGGGAGGCAGCAGUGGGGAAUAUUGGACAAUGGGCGAAAGCCUGAUCCAGCCAUGCCGCGUGUGUGAAGAAGGUCUUCGGAUUGUAAAGCACUUUAAGUUGGGAGGAAGGGUCGUAACCUAAUACGUUACGGCUUUGACGUUACCGACAGAAUAAGCACCGGCUAACUUCGUGCCAGCCGCCGCGGUAAGAC
rnacentral:rRNA from 1 species